rnacentral:rRNA from 1 species
GACGAACGCUGGCGGCGUGCCUAAUACAUGCAAGUCGAACGCUGAAGGAGGAGCUUGCUUCUCUGGAUGAGUUGCGAACGGGUGAGUAACGCGUAGGUAACCUGCCUGGUAGCGGGGGAUAACUAUUGGAAACGAUAGCUAAUACCGCAUAAUAGCAGUUAUUGCAUGAUAACUGUUUGAAAGGUGCAAUUGCACCACUACCAGAUGGACCUGCGUUGUAUUAGCUAGUUGGUGGGGUAACGGCUCACCAAGGCGACGACACAUAGCCGACCUGAGAGGGUGAACGGCCACACUGGGACCGAGAAACGGCCCAGACCCCUACGGGAGGCAGCAGGAGGGAAUCUUCGGCAAUGGACGGAAGUCUGACCGAGCAACGCCGCGUGAGGGAAGAAGGUUUUCGGAUCGUAAAGCUCUGUUGUAAGAGAAGAACGAGUGUGAGAGUGGAAAGUUCACACUGUGACGGUAUCUAACCAGAAAGGGACGGCUAACUACGUG